rnacentral:rRNA from 1 species
UACGUAGGGUGCGAGCGUUGUCCGGAAUUAUUGGGCGUAAAGAGCUCGUAGGCGGUUUGUUGCGUCGGCUGUGAAAACCUGAGGCUCAACCUCAGGCCUGCAGUCGAUACGAGCAGACUAGAGUGUUGCAGGGGAGACUGGAAUUCCUGGUGUAGCGGUGAAAUGCGCAGAUAUCAGGAGGAACACCGGUGGCGAAGGCGGGUCUCUGGGCCGAUACUGACGCUGAGGAGCGAAAGCGUGGGGAGCGAACAGG